CGUUUUUUUCAUGUCUAAUGUUUAACCAUUCGUUUUAUUUAAAUUUUUGUGAUUAAUAUUUUUAUUAUUACUAGAUGAUAAAAUAUGAAUAUUACUUUAUAUGUGAUUAUUUUUUAGGUUUUUAUAUAAAUUUUUUAAAUAAGAUAAAUGGUUAAACUUUGGACACGGAAAA
rnacentral:pre_miRNA from 1 species